rnacentral:rRNA from 1 species
ACGGAGGGUGCAAGCGUUAUCCGGAUUCACUGGGUUUAAAGGGUGCGUAGGCGGGCAGGUAAGUCAGUGGUGAAAUCUUCGAGCUUAACUCGGAAACUGCCGUUGAUACUAUCUGUCUUGAAUAUUGUGGAGGUGAGCGGAAUAUGUCAUGUAGCGGUGAAAUGCUUAGAUAUGACAUAGAACACCCAUUGCGAAGGCAGCUUACUACGCAUAUAUUGACGCUGAGGCACGAAAGCGUGGGGAUCAAACAGGAUUAGAUACCCUGGUAGUCCACGCCCUAAACUAUGGAUACUCGACAUAUGCGAUACACUGUAUGUGUCUGAGCGAAAGCAUUAAGUAUCCCACCUGGGAAGUACGUUCGCAAGAAUG